UACAGAGGUCUCAAGCGUUGUUCGGAUUCAUUGGGCGUAAAGGGCGCGUAGGCGGGCCAUCAAGUCAGGGGUGAAAUCUUUCGGCUCAACCGGAAAAGUGCCUUUGAUACUGGUGGUCUCGAGGGAGGUAGGGGCAUGCGGAACUUCCGGUGGAGCGGUGAAAUGCGUAGAUAUCGGAAGGAACGCCGGUGGCGAAAGCGGCGUGCUGGACCUCUUCUGACGCUGAGGCGCGAAAGCUAGGGGAGCAAACGGG
rnacentral:rRNA from 1 species